rnacentral:rRNA from 1 species
GUGUCAGCAGCCGCGGUAAUACGUAGGGUGCGAGCGUUAAUCGGAAUUACUGGGCGUAAAGCGUGCGCAGGUGGCUCUUUAAGUCAGAUGUGAAAGCCCCGGGCUUAACCUGGGAACGGCGUUUGAAACUGGAGAGCUGGAGUGUGGCAGAGGAAGGUGGAAUUCCUGGUGUAGCAGUGAAAUGCGUAGAGAUCAGGAGGAACACCGAUGGCGAAGGCAGCCUUCUGGGCCAACACUGACGCUCAUGCACGAAAGCGUGGGGAGCAAACAGGAUUAGAUACCCUGGUAGUCCACGCCCUAAACGAUGUCGACUGGUUGUUGGGGGAGUUAAAUCCCUUAGUAACGAAGCUAACGCGUGAAGUCGACCGCCUGGGGAGUACGGCCGCAAGGUUGAA